GGAAAAACUGAGAGCUACUUCUGCCACUUUUUUGACGGUCAAGUUGAUUAUGCUUCUGUAGAACCUGUUUAGGGCUGGCACCUCCAAGAAGAACAUCAAAUAAUGUUGCACAUAAGAGAUCCGUCUGAGGAAAUUUGAAGAGUCUGUCAGAUAUAACUGAGAAAAUGGGCUGUGUCCUUGAACUAACUUUCCUAAGGCCCUCUGGAAGAGAUUUUGAUCUGCCAACAGCAAUACUGAAAAAUUUUGAUCCUUUCUUCUCCAACGGAAGACCAACCAAUAGACGUCCAAGGAACUGCAGACCUAGUAGCCUGAUGGGUUCAAAGUCCCUUUCAAGAAGAUUUACAAAUAUGUGACAGCCACCAAUUAAAUUGACUUGUUCAAGGAAAGAAGCAAGUAGCUGUUUUUG
rnacentral:misc_RNA from 1 species